AAGAUGAUAUUCUCCGCCGUGGAAUAGCUUCUGACUCUGUUGCAUUCAGGGGGAAAGCCAAGAAGAUGUAGAGUCGGCCGUAUAACUUUAUGUUUUCUUGGCUUU
rnacentral:ncRNA from 1 species